rnacentral:rRNA from 1 species
CGGAGGAAAAGAAACCAACAGGGAUUGCCUCAGUAACGGCGAGUGAAGGGGCAACAGCUCAAAUUUGAAAUCUGGCCCUAGGCCCGAGUUGUAAUUUGCAGAGGAUGCUUUUGGUGCGGUGCCUUCCAAGUUCCCUAGAACGGGACGCCAGAGAGGGUGAGAGCCCCGUACAGUUGGACACCAAGCCUUUGUAAAGCUCCUUCGACGAGUCGAGUAGUUUGGGAAUGCUGCUCAAAAUGGGAGGUAUAUUUCUUCUAAAGCUAAAUACCGGCCAGAGACCGAUAGCGCACAAGUAGAGUGAUCGAAAGAUGAAAAGCACUUUGAAAAGAGGGUUAAACAGCACGUGAAAUUGUUAAAAGGGAAGCGCUUGUGACCAGACUUGCGUCCGGUGAAUCACCCAGCUCUCGCGGCUGGGGCACUUCGCCGGCUCAGGCCAGCAUCAGCUCGCUGUCGGGGACAAAAGCUUCAGGAACGUAGCUCUUUUCGGGGAGUGUUAUAGCCUGUUGCACAAUACCCUUGGGCGGGCUGAGGUACGCGC